rnacentral:rRNA from 1 species
AGUGAACGCUGGCGGUAGGCCUAACACAUGCAAGUCGAACGGCAGCACAGUAAGAGCUUGCUCUUACGGGUGGCGAGUGGCGGACGGGUGAGGGAUACAUCGGAAUCUACUUUUUCGUGGGGGAUAACGUAGGGAAACUUACGCUAAUACCGCAUACGACCUACGGGUGAAAGCAGGGGAUCUUCGGACCUUGCGCGAUUGAAUGAGCCGAUGUCGGAUUAGCUAGUUGGCGGGGUAAAGGCCCGCCAAGGCGACGACCCGUAGCUGGUCUGAGAGGAUGGUCAGCCACACUGGAACUGAGACACGGUCCAGACUCCUACGGGAGGCAGCAGUGGGGAAUAUUGGACAAUGGGCGCAAGCCUGAUCCAGCCAUACUGCGUGGGUGAAGAAGGCCUUCGGGUUGUAAAGCCCUUUUGUUGGGAAAGAAAAGCAGCAGGUUAAUACCCCGCUGUUCUGACGGUACCCAAAGAAUAAGCACCGGCUAACUUCGUG